CCAUGAUUUCGAUUUCUGUACCCGAUUUGUAAGCGGUGAUCCUUUCUCGUGGUUCGUCCUCGUUUGUGAUCUGCAGGAAGACGGGACGUUUCGAGUCUAAUUCCCUUAUCCCCGGAGAUGGAGCCGUCACAGACAAUUGGAUUAGGGUUAGACCGGGAUUCCCGUAUGUUACAUAUUUAUAUAUAACUUAAUGUGAGGAUGUUAAAUCACGUCCGUCCAUCAAGGACGUGUCCAGAU
rnacentral:lncRNA from 1 species